rnacentral:rRNA from 1 species
UACAGAGGGUGCUAGCGUUGUUCGGAAUCAUUGGGCGUAAAGGGCGUGUAGGCGGUUUGUUAAGUCAGGCGUGAAAGCCCCGGGCUUAACUCGGGAACUGCGCUUGAUACUGUCGAGCUAGAGUGUGGAAGGGGCGAUUGGAAUUCCGUGUGUAGCGGUGAAAUGCGUAGAUAUACGGAGGAACACCAGAGGCGAAGGCGGAUCGCUGGGCCAACACUGACGCUGAUGUGCGAAAGCUAGGGGAGCAAACGGG